AUUGAACGCUGGCGGCAUGCCUUACACAUGCAAGUCGAACGGCAGCGGGGGAGAAGCUUGCUUUUCCUGCUGGCGAGUGGCGAACGGGUGAGUAAUACAUCGGAACGUGCCCUGUAGUGGGGGAUAACUAGUCGAAAGAUUAGCUAAUACCGCAUCCGACCUGAGGGUGAAAGUGGGGGACCGCAAGGCCUCAUGCUAUAGGAGCGGCCGAUGUCUGAUUAGCUAGUUGGUGGGGUAAAGGCCUACCGAGGCGACGAUCAGUAGCUGGUCUGAGAGGACGGUGCGCCACACGGGGACUGAGAAACGGCCCCGACUCCUACGGGAGGCAGCAGUGGGGAAUUUUGGACAAUGGGCGAAAGCGUGAUCCAGCGAUGCCGCGUGUGUGAAGAAGGCCUUCUGCUUGUAAAGCACUUUUGUCCGUAAAGAAAUGGCUCUGGUUAAUACCUGGGGUCGAUGACGGUACCGGAAGAAUAAGGACCGGCUAACUACGUGCCAGCCGCCGCAGUAA
rnacentral:rRNA from 1 species